GUCCGCGUAGCUCAGUUGGCAGAGCAUUGGGCUAGUAUUCCAAAGGUCGUAGGUUCGAUUCCCACCGUGGCCG